rnacentral:rRNA from 1 species
AAACUAGGAUUAGAUACCCUAUUAUGCUUAGCCCUAAACAUUGAAUUUACAUUACACCUAACAUUCCGCCAGGGAAUUACGAGCACCAGCUUAAAACCCAAAGGACUUGGCGGUGCUUAACAUCCACCUAGAGGAGCCUGUUCUAUAAUCGAUAAUCCCCGUUUAACCUCACCCUCUCUUGCUCUACCGCCUAUAUACCGCCGUCGUC